UGAUCUGUGAAACUAUUCAAA
ensembl:piRNA 21ur-2473 ncRNA